UACAGAGGUCCCAAGCGUUGUUCGGAUUCACUGGGCGUAAAGGGUGCGUAGGCGGUCGGGUAAGUCUGAUGUGAAAUCUCACAGCUUAACUGUGAAACUGCAUUGGAUACUAUCCGGCUUGAGGAAUGGAGGGGAGACUGGAAUACUUGGUGUAGCAGUGAAAUGCGUAGAUAUCAAGUGGAACACCAGUGGCGAAGGCGAGUCUCUGGACAUUCCCUGACGCUGAGGCACGAAAGCCAGGGGAGCAAACGGG
rnacentral:rRNA from 1 species